rnacentral:ncRNA from 2 species
AUUGUCUCAACGGGGUGCCGAAAUAUUAGGCUGAGAAUUAACCCGUAGAACCUGAUCCGGGCAAUGCCGGCGUAGGGAUUUGAGCUGCCGUCAGUA